GGGCGAUUAGCUCAGUUGGUAGAGCAUCUGACUUUUAAUCAAUUGGUCGCAGGUUCGAAUCCUGCACGACCCACCA
rnacentral:tRNA from 1 species